rnacentral:rRNA from 1 species
CCAACGGGCGGCAGCAGUGAGGAAUUUUGCGCAAUGGGAGCAAUCCUGACGCAGCAACGCCGCGUGGGUGAUGAAGGCCUUCGGGUCGUAAAGCCCUGUCAGGUGGGAAGAAUGUCCCGGGACUGAACAGGUUUCGGGAGUGACGGUACCACCAGAGGAAGCACCGGCUAACUCCGUGCCAGCAGCCGCGGUACUACGGAGGGUGCAAGCGUUAUUCGGAAUUACUGGGCGUAAAGCGCGUGUAGGCGGCCCUGCAAGUCUGAUGUGAAAGCCCCGGGCUUAACCCGGGAAGUGCAUUGGAAACUGCAGGUCGUGAGGACUGGAGAGGAUGGGGGAAUUCCCGGUGUAGAGGUGAAAUUCGUAGAGAUCGGGAGGAAUAUCAGUGGCGAAGGCGCCCAUCUGGACGGUAACUGACGCUGAGACGCGAAAGCGUGGGGAGCAAACA